GAUGAACGCUAGCUACAGGCUUAACACAUGCAAGUCGAGGGGUAACGAGAGGAAAGCUUGCUUUCCUUGUCGACGACCGGCGCACGGGUGAGUAACGCGUAUCCAACCUGCCCCCAACUAAGGAAUAACCUUGCGAAAGUAAGACUAAUACCUUAUAAUUUCCUCAGAUGUCAUCUGACGAGGAAUAAAGAUUUAUCGGUUGUGGAUGGGGAUGCGUCUGAUUAGCUUGUUGGCGGGGUAACGGCCCACCAAGGCAACGAUCAGUAGGGGUUCUGAGAGUAAGGUCCCCCACAUUGGACCGGAGACACGGUCCAAACUCCUACGGGAGGCAGCAGUGAGGAAUAUUGGUCAAUGGGCGAAAGCCUGAACCAGCCAAGUAGCGUGCAGGAUGACGGCCCUAUGGGUUGUAAACUGCUUUUAUACAGGAAUAAAGUUAGCCACGUGUGGUUAUUUGUAGGUACUGUAUGAAUAAGGACCGGCUAAUUCCGUGCCAGCCGCCGCCGUAA
rnacentral:rRNA from 1 species